rnacentral:ribozyme from 1 species
UGAGUCUCUUACCUUUGAUUUUUUAUUUUCUCUUUUAGAGAGAGAUUUUUUGGGAGAAAGAGAAAGGAAAAAAAAAGGAGAAGAGGAGAAAAUGAAU